rnacentral:rRNA from 10 species
GUCUAAGGCCAUACCAUUCUGAUCCAUGAAAAUAAGCAGGGUCUGUCCUGGCAAGUAGUUGAAUGGGAGACCGCCCGGGAAUACUGAGUGCUGUCGGGU